ensembl:lncRNA
GUGGCCCCAGCUGGGCCAAGGAUCUGGCUCCUUGAAUGCAACUUGCUUAUUUAGGCCUGUCGCCCUGUUUUGGAGGCACUGGAUCUCCAGCAUGUUUCUUCUGCAAAAGAUAAGCAUCUGAAAAAGGAGAUGUAGAAGAGAUUGAUGUAUGGGUGAAGUGUGUAGGAGCAAGCCUACUUUACUCCAGGAUGUGACAUCCCAGUGCAGCAAAUGAAGACAUGGCUGAAAGGCUAAUUUAAAAUCUUCUUCUCCCGUGAGGACUUUCUCCAAAGAAGCCGUCUCCUUGCUGCACCAAACAGAAGCUUGUUGAGUACUCUCAGGAGUCUUCCUUUCCUGUAGGGGCCGAUCCCAUUCCUGCUAACCAACAAGAGACCUGCUAAGCAACAGGACAUGUGGGAUGGGACAGGAGCGGGGAUUGGAGCUCCAGAGGAAGCUCUGGCUGCAGUGUGAGGACGAAACAGAGGCCAGCAGCUCUCCAGAGUCAAUUGGGUGCUACAGAGUUCAAAGAGCAGAGCCAAUGUUUGCAGAUGCAAAGCAGACCUGAUGUUGAUCCCAACCCUUCUAGAUCCUGGUCUGAUAUGAAAAAGAAAAUGAUUUUGUAGUCUUUCAAUUAAACACCUUAUCAAUGAUCUCAAAGCAUCUGCAGCGACUGAGUGCUAAGGAGGA